rnacentral:rRNA from 1 species
UACGAAGGGGGCUAGCGUUGCUCGGAAUCACUGGGCGUAAAGGGCGCGUAGGCGGCGUUUUAAGUCGGGGGUGAAAGCCUGUGGCUCAACCACAGAAUGGCCUUCGAUACUGGGACGCUUGAGUAUGGUAGAGGUUGGUGGAACUGCGAGUGUAGAGGUGAAAUUCGUAGAUAUUCGCAAGAACACCAGUGGCGAAGGCGGCCAACUGGUCCGGUACUGACGCUGAGGUGCGAAAGCGUGGGGAGCAAACAGG